rnacentral:rRNA from 1 species
AGUGAACGCUGGCGGCGUGCUUAACACAUGCAAGUCGAACGAGAACGGGUUAUAGCUUGCUAUAAUUGUCAGCUAAGUGGCGCACGGGUGAGUAAUGUAUAGGUAAUAUGCCUCUUACUAAGGGAUAACAAAUGGAAACGUUUGCUAAUACCUUAUACUCCUUAUUAACAUAAGUUAAUAAGGGAAAGAUUUAUUGGUAAGAGAUUAGCCUGUAUUGUAUCAGUUAGUUGGUGGGGUAAUGGCUUACCAAGACUAUGACACAUAACUGGUUCGAGAGGAUGAUCAGUCACACUGGAACUAAGACACGGUCCAGACUCCUACGGGAGGCAGCAGUGGGGAAUAUUGCACAAUGGACGAAAGUCUGAUGCAGCAACGCCGCGUGGAGGAUGACACAUUUCGGUGCGUAAACUCCUUUUAUAUGAGAAGAUAAUGACGGUAUUAUAUGAAUAAGCACCGGCUAACUCCGUGCCAGCAGCCGCGGUAA